GAAGAGGGAGGAGGGGGGAGGAUCAGAGAACGGGAAGGAGAGGAGAGGGGAAGGGAGAGAGGCGCUGCCGGUGGUGACCACAGCCACCGUCACCGCUGACCUUCAGGGGAAAAUGAGAGUGAGAGAGAGAGAGACGCACAGAACGCGCGACGCGAGGAAGAGAAGGAGCUCGUCUUCGUUGCCGCCGUCGCCGCGCCUUGCCGCCGCUUCCGUUGUUGGAAGCCGCCGCUAUCGUUGGAAGGAACCAAAUAAGGAUAAGAGGUCGCUGUUGAUGCUGCCGAGAGGAAGGAAGGGACGCGUGUGAGAAAGUGACGCAACAGAGGAGGAGCCGUUCCUCUGCCGCCGGAAUUUCUGAUCGCCGUCGUCGUUCACGGAUGCUGCUGUAUUAAUUGCUUUCCUGAUUUCUGUCGUGUUCCACGAGAUUUUAUUCAUGAGGCAAAGAAUUCUGAGAGAGCAGCCAAAAACUUGAGAAACAACAAAUCGAUCAGGGUUCCUCAUGUAUUCUGGGAUUUGACUAGCAGGCAAGUCCUAACAAUGCAGUUUUAUACAGGGCGAAAGGAGGACAUGAUGUGAAGAAAAUAUGUUCUAUACAAAUAUAAGAUGGGAUGGGUCUUAUAAUGAUUUGGUUAUCUAACUGUAUUAUUUUGAUGUGUUCUUUACAUUUUGAUAAGAGACUUUAUCCGAUAUUACAUGUAAUGGAUAAAUUCACUACAACAUUUUGGGUCUAUGGCCACGGUUUUCUUGGUCACGGUAAAAAACCGUGACCAUAGACCGUCUAUGAUCACGGUUUUUUAGGGUGAUAAAAAAGGCUAUGGUUACGGUUUUUUUGAAAAGGGUGACCAUAGAGUACCUAUGGUCAUAGUUUUUUAAAAAAGGGUGGCCUAAAAGGGUCUAUGGUCACGGUUUUUUACAGUGACCAAAAAGGAUCUAUGGUCACGAUUUUUUAAAAAAAGGUGACCUAAAAGGGUCUAUAGUCACGGUUUUGGGGGUGGCUUAAAGGGGUCUAUGGUCACGGUUUUGGAGGGUGGCCUAAAAAGGUCUAUAGUUACGGUUUUGAGGGUGACCUAAAGGGGUCUAUGGUCACGAUUUUUUACAGUGACCAAAAAGGGGCUAUGGUCACGGUUUUUCAAAAAAAAGGUGACCUAAAAGGGUCUAUGGUCACGGUUUUGGGGGGUGACCUAAAGGGGUCUAUGGUCACGGUUUUGGGGGUGGUCUAAAAGGUCUAUGGUCAUGGUUUUGGGGGUGGCCUAAAGGGUCUAUGGUCACGGUUUUGGGGGGUGACCUAAAAGGGUCUAUGGUCACGGUUUUAGGGGUAACCUUUUUGUGGUGGCAUGUGCCUUGAUCUUUCAUGUAUGUACAACCCUCACAUGCUCUUUUAGUGGCAUCAUAAACAACAUGGACAAACUUGGUAAUUUGGAGCAAGUAAUGUUGAAAGCUACGCUGAGUGGCUGAUAUAAUGAUCUCAAAACAAUGUUGCUCAACUCAAGGAAGAAAUGAAUUCUGAGGCAUGUCUUUGAGUAAGUUUUAAGUUUUGACUAGUAUUACUAUUAUUUUAUUAUAAGUUGUUGUUUAAACCCAUAAUUAUGCAUGAAGCAGUCCUGAACAUGUGGCAUUGCUUAUAAGCAGAAACAAAUGGUCAUCUAUUUUUUUUUUUUGAAUUUUUUUGGAUCAAAGUGAGAGAUUAGAGAUUUUGGCCAUAAUAUUAUAUAUAAACUAUAUACAGCAUAGACGUGCUUUGUUCUAAUUCAUUCUAAGUGCAAAUGCAAUGUUUAUUAGAAGGUUAUAAUUUUGUUAAUUCAAAGAUAAUGCCUCAUUAGUUUUGGUAUUCCGUUUAUUAUCUUAGUAUUAGUUUUUGUUGAAUAAAGAAACUAACUGUGAUGGCGAAAACAUUUAUGGUUUAGAGUUAUCUUAAUUCAGAUUGUUUAUUAUUUUAGUAUUCUCUUAAUUCAUAUUGUUUAUUUCUAUUUGACAACUCUUCCAUCUCUCUGGUUUGCCUGUAAUCCACAUAGAAAAGGAUUAACAGAUCAAGCCAAAGAACAGAUCAAGUAAGUCACUUUGGCUCAAAAUAUGACAUUGAUCAAUCAAUCCAAUUUUUAUUUUCCUAGUUUGAUGAACAUAUAAAUCUUGACUAAAUAAAUAAUCUGAAUUCUUAUUUAUGUAAUGCUGAAAAGGUAGAAAAAUCU